GUGGGGGUAGCUCAGUGGUAAAGUGCUGGCCUGGUAUAUUUGAGGCCCUAGGUUCAAUCCCUAGCACACCACU
rnacentral:tRNA from 1 species